rnacentral:rRNA from 1 species
UACGGGGGGAGCAAGCGUUGUUCGGAUUUACUGGGCGUAAAGGGCGCGUAGGCGGCCACCGCAAGUCGACUGUGAAAUCUCCGGGCUUAACCCGGAAAGGUCAGCCGAUACUGCGGGGCUAGAGUGCAGAAGGGGCAACUGGAAUUCUCGGUGUAGCGGUGAAAUGCGUAGAUAUCACUUGGAACGCCAAUGGUGAAAACAGCUCGCUGGGAAUGAUCUGACACUGAGACGCGAAAGCCAGGGGAGCGAACGGG